rnacentral:rRNA from 1 species
AGUGAACGCUGGCGGUAGGCCUAACACAUGCAAGUCGAACGGCAGCACAGUAAGGGCUUGCUCUUACGGGUGGCGAGUGGCGGACGGGUGAGGAAUACAUCGGAAUCUACUUUUUCGUGGGGGAUAACGUAGGGAAACUUACGCUAAUACCGCAUACGACCUACGGGUGAAAGCAGGGGAUCUUCGGACCUUGCGCGAUUGAAUGAGCCGAUGUCGGAUUAGCUAGUUGGCGGGGUAAAGGCCCACCAAGGCGACGAUCCGUAGCUGGUCUGAGAGGAUGAUCAGACACACUAGAACUGAGACACGGUCGAGACUCCUACGGGAGGCAGCAGUGGGAAAUAUUAGACAAUGGGCGCAAGCCUGAUCCAGCCAUACCGCGUGGGUGAAGAAGGCCUUCGGGUUGUAGCCCUUUUGUUGGGAAAGAAAAGCAGCAGGUUAAUACCCCGCUGUUCUGACGGUACCCAAAGAAUAAGCACCGGCUAACUUCGUG